AGCGAACGCUGGCGGCAGGCCUAACACAUGCAAGUCGAACGAACCCUUCGGGGUUAGUGGCGGACGGGUGAGUAACACGUGGGAACGUGCCUUUAGGUUCGGAAUAACUCAGGGAAACUUGUGCUAAUACCGAAUGUGCCCUUCGGGGGAAAGAUUUAUCGCCUUUAGAGCGGCCCGCGUCUGAUUAGCUAGUUGGUGAGGUAAUGGCUCACCAAGGCUACGAUCAGUAGCUGGUCUGAGAGGAUGACCAGCCUCAUUGGGACUGAGACACGGCCCAAACUCCUACGGGAGGCAGCAGUGGGGAAUCCUGCGCAAUGGGCGAAAGCCUGACGCAGCCAUGCCGCGUGGAUGAUGAAGGUCUUAGGAUUGUAAAAUCCUUUCACCGGUGAAGAUAAUGACUGUAGCCGGAGAAGAAGCCCCGGCUAACUUCGUGCCAGCAGCCGCCGUAAGAC
rnacentral:rRNA from 1 species